CCCGACGUCAAUGAGAGAGCGUGUCACAGAUGGAGUUCCUGCAACAGACAGUAGUAAAUCGGGGCGAAAGCUAAACCCUAAUAAAAAUGCCUGGCAGAGGUGUUCAUUGCUGACAGGUCUCCUGCCCUGGAGAAAAGAGAGGGCUGCUCUCUCCUACCGCCCUGGCAAACCUUCUGGAUUCUUCCUGGUUCCCCACUUCUUGCCACUCAGGAUGAUGCCCGCUUUUUUUUUUUUUUUUUUUUUUUUGUCUCUGAAAUGUAAUUGUCUAAAAUGU